rnacentral:rRNA from 1 species
UACGAAGGGUGCAAGCGUUAAUCGGAAUUACUGGGCGUAAAGCGUGCGUAGGUGGUUUGUUAAGUCUGUUGUGAAAGCCCUGGGCUCAACCUGGGAAUGGCGAUGGAUACUGGCGAGCUAGAGUACGGUAGAGGAUGGUGGAAUUCCCGGUGUAGCGGUGAAAUGCGUAGAGAUCGGGAGGAACAUCAGUGGCGAAGGCGGCCAUCUGGGCCAGUACUGACGCUGAGGCAAGAAAGCGUGGGGAGCAAACAGG